rnacentral:rRNA from 1 species
GAGUAAAUGGAAAUGAUUUGUUGAGUGAUUAGGAGUGUCUUCUAGGGUUUGUCUUUUAUGUGGAGUUAAUAGUGAAAUCUGGAGUCUAAUUUGUAGGGGCUAAAUUUGAAGGAAGAAUUUUUGAGGUUGUAAAAAUAAAGGUGUAAAAUAGGAUUAGAUACCCUAUUAUACUUUAUAGAAAGAUUUUUGUGCAUAGGUAGUAGUAGAUAUGGUCUUGAAAUCUAAAAGAUUUGGCGGUAUCUAAGUCUAGUUAGAGGAACCUGUUAUGUAAGCGAUAAUCCACGGAUAUCUAUCCUCAUUUUGUAAUUUUCAGUAUGUAUACCGCCAUUAUUAGGUAAUUUUAAGAGAUAUUUACUGAAAUAAGUUAUUCUUAGUAUAUUAGGUCAAGGUGCAGCUAAUGGUGGGGGAAUAUUAAAUGGGUUACAUUAAUAUUAAGUUAAACGGAAAGGUGGAGGAAGUUUUUGCCUGGAAGGAGG